AGUCCAGCCAUAGGCAGUCCACAGAGGGAUUCUGGUCCUCUCUCUGCAGGCCUUGGAACAGAUUCCAACUGGAGACAAAGCAGGAAAAAAUGCUCUAGGUUCAAGAGUACCGAUGCUCAGAAACCAAGGAAGGACGUAAGGUGUCUGUAUCUGUGAAGGAUGUGCCUCUGUGGUUGAACUGUUCGGUCAAUAUCUGGAUUUGAGGCAGAUGUGAUGUGCCCACUGCUCUAGGAAUGCAAGAGAAGAGUCAAAGCAAGUUCCGGGACAGGCUGAUCCACAUAGAAGACUUUGUCUCAAACAAAAAGAAGCCAGAAACUAUUGACAUGGGUUUUCACUGGUUCGAA